UACGGAGGGUGCGAGCGUUGUCCGGAAUCAUUGGGCGUAAAGGGCGCGUAGGCGGUCUGCUAAGCGUGUGGUGAAAGCUCGGGGCUCAACCCCGAGUCUGCCAUGCGAACUGGUGGACUUGAGCACUGUAGAGGCAGGUGGAAUUCCGGGUGUAGCGGUGGAAUGCGUAGAGAUCCGGAAGAACACCAGUGGCGAAGGCGGCCUGCUGGGCAGUUGCUGACGCUGAGGCGCGACAGCGUGGGGAGCAAACAGG
rnacentral:rRNA from 1 species